rnacentral:rRNA from 1 species
GACGAACGCUGGCGGCGUGCUUAACACAUGCAAGUCGAACGGAAAGGCCCUGCUUUUGUGGGGUGCUCGAGUGGCGAACGGGUGAGUAACACGUGAGUAACCUGCCCUUGACUUUGGGAUAACUUCAGGAAACUGGGGCUAAUACCGGAUAUGAGCUCCUGCUGCAUGGUUGGGGUUGGAAAGUUUCGGCGGUUGGGGAUGGACUCGCGGCUUAUCAGCUUGUUGGUGGGGUAGUUGCUUACCAAGGCUUUGACGGGUAGCCGGCAUGAGAGGGUGACCGGCCACAUUGGGACUGAGAUACGGACCAGACUCCUACGGGAGGCAGCAGUGGGGAAUAUUGCACAAUGGGCGGAAGCCUGAUGCAGCAACGCAGCGUGCGGGAUGACGGCCUUCGGGUUGUAAACCGAUUUCGCCUGUGACGAAGCGUGAGUGACGGUAAUGGGUAAAGAAGCACCGGCUAACUACGUG